GUAGGUGAACCUGCGGAAGGAUCAUUAUUGAAUAAAUCUGAUUGGUUGUAGCUGGCUCUCCGGAGCAUGUGCACAUCAGUCACCUUUAUCUUUCCACCUGUGAACCCACUGUAGUCCUGGAUACCUCUCGCCGCAAGGCGGAUGCGUGGUUUGGCGUGCUGCUCGCAAGAGUGGUCGGCUUACCGCGAAUUUCCAGGUCUAUGAUUUACACAAACCCCAAACGUAUGUUAUAGAAUGUCAUACCUAGGCU
rnacentral:misc_RNA from 1 species